rnacentral:rRNA from 1 species
ACACGUGGUAUCCUGUCUGAAUAUGGGGGGACCAUCCUCCAAGGCUAAAUACUCCUGACUGACCGAUAGUGAACCAGUACCGUGAGGGAAAGGCGAAAAGAACCCCGGCGAGGGGAGUGAAAAAGAACCUGAAACCGUGUACGUACAAGCAGUGGGAGCACCUUCGUGGUGUGACUGCGUACCUUUUGUAUAAUGGGUCAGCGACUUAUAUUCUGUAGCAAGGUUAACCGUAUAGGGGAGCCGAAGGGAAACCGAGUCUUAACUGG